GCACAGUACGCUGUGUCCAGCCCAGAGGUGAAAGCCAUCCAAAGCAGAGUAACUGUGCUUUGCGUCCAAGUUGAUACCUGUGGAGAGGAAAGGAAAGAGAGAGUGAGUAACACAAGGAGAAACAGAGGAAACCUGUACUUACAGUACGCUGUGUCCAGCCCAGAGGUGAAAGCCAUCCAAAGCAGAGUAACUGUGCUUUGCGUCCAAGUUGAUACCUGUGGAGAGGAAAGGAAAGAGAGAUUGAUACCUGUGGAGAGAAAAGGAGAGAGAGUGGGUAACACGAGGAGAGACCGAGGAAACCUGUACUUACGCCGCUGCCUGUGGAGAAAGAGAAAGCGAGUGAGCACCCAAGGAACGAACUGUGUGAACCAGUACUUACUGUGAGCUGCAAUCAGCGAAGAGCCGUUGCCUGUGGAGGAAGAGAAAGAGAGUGAGCACCCCGAGAACGAACUGUGUGAACCAGUACUUACCGUGAGCUGUAUUCAGCGAAGAGGAGGAAGAAGGAGGGCGCUACGGAUACCUAAGACUCAGGCCGGGGCCCGAGUCCCACGCCCCGGAUCCCCGUGGCCCCCUUGCUCCCUGACCUCUUCCCGGCCAUAGCCCAUCUGGAGGGCCGAGUCAGAGUUUAGUUUUAAUUGCCCUUUCCCUAUU
ensembl:lncRNA